AAGAGUGAAGACACAUACACUGCUAAUGUUAGUACCUAGACAUAACACCCUAGCACUCUUA
rnacentral:tRNA from 1 species